ensembl:lncRNA
CCUGACCCGUAUCUACAGCGACACAACUGGCCUGGUUCCCUAGCUGGUGGGAGGCAGGGCCGCUGAUACUCACUUGCUUUGCUCAGAACCUGCCCUGAAGGAGGGGCUGAGCCCAGGGAGUGGGCAUCAGAGAUGCACUGGGCAGGGACCAGAUGCCACAGGCUUACACUCAUGUUCAUAAAACGUGCCACACAGCAGUUCUAAAGUCAUCACUGUGAUGUAACAGCGAUUCCUCCAGUGACCAGGCUUGCUCACUGAUGACCACUUCCAAGACAGUAAGUUCCACAAGGUGAUGGGUCCUCUCUCGUCCAUUACUCUGGCCCUGGGGCCCAGCACAGACCUUGGCACAUGGUGGAGUUGGAUCCAGUGGGAAACUCCGAGCGGUUUGGAGAGAAAAAGCAAUAUAACUUUUGGAGAAUAGCAGCAAAAAUUACAAUCUACAUGAGAAACGGAAGCUAAUCAUUGAGUCCUUUUAUGUUCCAGGCAGGAUGCUAGGCACCUCAUGUUUGUCUUGUUUAUUUCCUCAGCAUCCAAGGGUUACACACCAAAGUGUUUCCUCUUCCAGAGAUUCUCUGGAUGGGAGACCCAGACCACGCAUCCAAUGGGAGCGGAUGAGCAUCUCUAUUUGAACAUCUCUGUACAUUGAUCAGCAAUAACGGGGUUAAUGAUGCUCUUAUGCAAAGAGUCUCAAUUAUGUCUCAACAUUAACACCCAUUAAGAUGAAUGACAAUGCAUUAUAAGUAGCGUUUCAAUUUGAAAUUGAAAUUGUAUCAAUUAGCCUUUAAACUAGCCUAAAUAAAUUCCGUUUGUUAGCUCAAAAAUGAUUCAAAUGCCAUGGCUUUGAAUAAGAGGUUUUUAAAAAGUUUUUUUUUAUUCUCUUCUAAAAAGUCAUAUCUCUGUGUAUAGUCUCUUAAGAGAGAAGAGGAACAGGGACCAUAGUCAGUAAAUUAUUCCAGUUGAUGAGGGGUGAGCAGCAGUUAUAAGAAGGGUGAUUUCCCAGAGGAGGAAAGAAGCGCAAGGAACGAGAGUCCCUCCCACUGCUGCCGAGGGAGAGAAGUCUUAAACUCUGGGAAGCAGGGGCCUAGAAAUUCAGUGGGUCUUAUGAUGCCACAGCCUCUCAAAGCCGUCCUGGGUCCAGCCUUCAGUGCAUCCUCCACCCCAGGCAGGACCGGGCAGGGCUGUGGCCCCGAAACUAGAAGGCAUUCCUGUUCUCAGUUCCCAUCCGGCCCCUCCUGCCGCUUCCCUUUAAUGAUGCACACGCCUGCCUCCCAUGUGAGCUCAGGCACCUCUGAAGGCAUCAGUACAAUUCUGUUCAUCUCUCCAGCACCCCCAACCCCUUUACCUGGCAGACGUGUGCUAACAACACGUGGUAGUGUAAAUCAAUACUCCAUCCUUUAGCCAAUGGGCCAGAUCACUGACAUGUACACAUUUUCAGUGCUUGCCUCUUGAUGAAACUUCAAAAAUGUAAUUCUUCAAUAGCCCAGACCAGAACAUUCCUCCCUGUAUUCAAGCCCAGGGGUGGACUUUGGCAAAAUGCAACCAACAUCCGGGGCUUCAGCCUGAUGAUCAUGGGACUGGCACAGGGUUGGACAUAAGGGUUACAAAGAGGGAAAUGUUCAAGAAUUACGAGCUCCAGCCCACUGUGGGCUGCAGGGGUGUGGUGCUCAUGGGCUCCUGCUGCUGGAAAUCCAGCUUCUUCUUCUGGUCCUGGAACGAGGAGUAGCUGGAGCAGAGGGAUGAGCCCCUUCCUUGUCUUCCUAGUUGCUGUCCUCGGCGUAGCUCGCCUGACCCUCAGCAUUCCCGGGAAGUGGGACUAACACAGCCAGUGUGCAGAGGCGCCCACGUGUCCAGGCCCCGCGCUGGGCACAUCAUCACAGUGCCCUCCUUGGAUUCUCCAUCACCAGCCCAUCCACCCUGCUGAGGGUGACACUCAGCUCCUCUCUGCUGGCCCAGGGCCCUCGAUGACUGCCAGCGUUUAAGGAGGGGCAGUAGAGCAUGCCACUCGUGCCCUUGGCCCAAGUGUCUUGCCUCCCUCCACACACAUAUACACACACACACUUUUGGAGGAUAAUGACUACAAAAUUUUUAUUAGGGAUUAAUAAGCCAGACAAAGGGCUGUCUAGUCAAAACUAUGGCUUUUCCAAUAGUCUUGUAUGGAUGUGAGAGUCAUAAAGAAAGCUGAGCGCCGAAGAAUUGAUGGUUUUGAACUGUGGUGUUGGAGAAGUUUGAGUCCCUUGGACUGCAAGGAGAUCAAACCAGUCAAUCCUAAAGGAAAUCAGUCCUGAAUGUUCACUGGAAGGACUGAUACUGAAGCUGAAGCUCCAAUACUUUGGCCACCUGAUUCGAAGAGCUGACUUACUGAAAAAGACCCUGAUACUGGACAAGAUUGAAGGCAGGAGGAGAAGGGGAUGACAGAGGAUAAGAUCGUUGGAUGGCAUCAUCAGCUCGAUGGACAUGAGUUUCAGCAAGCUUUGGGAGGUGCUGAUGGACAGGGAGGCCUGGCGUGCUGUGGUUCAUGGGGUUGGAAAGAGUCGGACACGACUGAGCGACUGAACUGAACUGAACCGAGCGGCUUGAAAAGACCCUGAUGCUGGGAAAGAUUGGGGGCAAGAGGAGAAGGGGACGACAGAGGAUGAGACAGUUGGAUGGCAUCACCAACUCAAUGGACAUGGGUUUGGGUGAACUCCGGGAGUUGGUGAUGGACAGGGAGGCCUGGCGUGCUACAGUUCACAGGGUCACAAAGAGUCGGACACGACUGAGCAUCUGAACUGAACUGAACUGAAUAAGCCAGAGUCUCAUGGUUGAAGUCCCAUUAACUGCAUGAAGCACAAAGUAACCCAACUGACUGACAGCUGGUUCUCUUUCCAGAAUUUUUUUUUAGUUGAAGUAUAGUUGAUUUGGGCUUCUCUGGUGGCUCACUGUAAAGAAUCUGCCUGCAGUGCAGGAGACACUGGUUCAAUCCCUGUGUCAGGAAGCUCCCCUGGAGGAGGGCAUGGCAGCCCACUCCAGUAUUCUUGCCUGGAGAAUCCCAUGGACAGACAAGCCUGGUGGGCUACAGUCCAUGACGUCGCAAAGAGUCGGACAUAACUGAGCAACUAACACAUACAGAGUCGAUUUACAAUGUUUCAGGUGUACAGCAAACAUAUAUAUUUUUUCCAUUGUAGUUUAUUACAAGAAACUGAGUAGAGUUCCCUAUGCUAAACACUAGGGCCUUGUUCACCUAUUUUAAACAUAAUAGUGUAUAUAUGUUGAGCCCAAAGUCCAAAUUCAUCCCUCUGCUCAUCUUCCCCCUUUGAUAAUCAUAAGCUUGUUUGUCGUGAGUCUGUUUCUGUUUCGGAAAUAAGUUCAUUUGUGUUAUAUUUCUAUAUUUCAUGUAUAGCUGAUGCCACGUGAUAUUUGUCUUUUCCCUUCUGACUGACUUCACGCAGGAUGAUAACCUCUAAGUCCAUUCUUGCCACUGCAAAUGGUAUGACUUCACUCUUCUUUGUGACUGAGAAACACUCCAGUGUGUAUCUGUGUCCCAUCUUCUUUAUUCAUGCACCUGCAUGCGAUUCGAGGGGCUCUCAGGCCACUGAAGCCACCGUCAGGGAAGGACAGCCCCUCGAGUCUGUUGUGUUUUCUUCCCUGGAAGGUGCUGAGAGGCGCCAUGGGCCACAAUCUGUCUCCAUGUGGUGAAACUUUUUAUCCUUUUGUAAAAUUGUCUUAUAUCAGAACCCCCAUAAGGCUUUUGCUUCUUAAAC